CAGCGGACAAACAACAACAACAACCCGGCGUCUGUGUGCCACUGCGAGGGACGACGAGGUCGAGAUGGACCGCGAUAGGCGAACAUUGGAAAUAAGAAGCAGGGAGAAAAGAAGGCGAGCAGGAGGAAUGUCACUUUGGAGGAGCGUGACGAAACCGAGAUGACGGACUCGGAGCGCGACUCGCCGAGCCCAUUCUGAGGACGCCGAGACAAUGUGAGGCUUUUAUCAGCAAGCCAAGGAAUCUGGAUCAACAGUAUGCAAAACAUACACCAAAAUAAAUGCAACCAAGCAUGUUGCAACAGCA